GGAAGGAUCAUUAGUGAUUUUGACUGUUACCUUCAGUGCUGGCUGGUCUCCAGCAAGUGCACGUCGGUGACUUUCAUCCAAAUACCCCUGUGCACCUUUGGCCUCUUGCUGGCUUCGGCUGGCAGAGGAUUUUACACCAACUCGAAUGUAAUGAAAACUACUGUUGUGCGCAAGCACUAAUGUACAACUUUCAACAACGGAUCUCUUGGCUCUCGCAUCGAUGAAGAACGCAGCGAAAUGCGAUAAGUAAUGUGAAUUGCAGAAUUCAGUGAAUCAUCGAAUCUUUGAACGCACCUUGCACCCUUUGGUAUUCCGAAGGGUAUGCUCGUUUGAGUGUCAUUGUACUCUCACACUCUCCGAUCCUUUGGAUUGGGAGUGGUGGACUUGGGUGUUGCUGCUGCCCGGUGGCUCACCUCAAAUGCAUUAGUGCAACUCCUGGUUGGACAUAGUACGGCGUGAUAAGUAUCUUCGCCGGCGCCUUGAAAGAGGGUGGCCGAUUGGGAGCUCUGUGCUUCAUUAACUGUCUUCGGACAAUGUCUGACAACUUGACCUCAAAUCGAGUAGGACUACCCGCUGAACUUAAGCAUAUCAAUAAGCGGGAGGAAAAGAAACUAACAAGGAUUCCCCCUAGUAACGGCGAGUGAAGAGGGGAAGAGCUCAAAUUUUGAAUCUGGCGUCUCUGGCGUCC
rnacentral:misc_RNA from 1 species